CUUAAGGUGCCUGUAGAGACUCUCCUUCUCUCUCUCCCCUCUGGGAUGAGAGUCAGAGGAUAAAACUUUCUUUCUAACUCACUCCUGUAGCAUAUAUUUACAGCCAGCCCUGAACAGGGAACACUGUGAUGGGCUUUUGCCUCAAAAGACUCUGAAUUUACAGUCAUGCUGCCUUUGGAGAAUGGAGACCAGACUGGGCCACCCAGGUCACGGGCAGGAGAGGGGACAUAUGGCACAACUUGAGGAAACACCACUGUCCAGUGGAGACCCACCACAUCAUUCUCUGGAUGAACCUGAUGCCCAGCAGAACUCUAUAGCGUUUGGAAAAGCACAUUUCCUGCUCUGAACUGUAUUUUGCCUCAGGCUUGUCCUGUUGCUCAGAAAUAAGACACUCCAUCUGCAGCAGGCACUGGAGAGAUCUCUGCUGUACGUUUGCUUCAGGGCUUUCUCUCAACUAUCUGUGCCUGGACAAACACAAAACUGCAGUUCUUGUCUUACCGCCCAUCUGGAGUGGGGACACAUCCUGCUAUAUUGGCAAGACAUCAACCAGAGUUUACAGGAGAGUGAACAAUAAGAAUGACCUCUUCUCCAAGUCUGGAGAAAAAUCCCUCCCAGGAUUUGAGGUCUGCUGCAAACCACAGAGCAAAUGCCUUAUCGGUAGCCCCUGGCAACCAACGUUUUUCUGUCUCUUUGAGAUAGAUUGAAGGGGAC